rnacentral:ncRNA from 1 species
AAGUAGAGGUGCGUUUUUCAAGAGUAUCCGGGUGAAUAUCAUAAGGGAUAGAUGCAGCCCGCAAAAAGGGGAAAACGCCGAAGAAGGGAAAUGCCUUAUCUUUCCGCUUCUGGUUGUACAGUCAAUAGCUGUAUGACUGUCAUUGGAAAUCCAAUGGAGCGCUACA